rnacentral:rRNA from 1 species
UACGUAGGUGGCAAGCGUUAUCCGGAUUUACUGGGUGUAAAGGGCGUGUAGGCGGGGACGCAAGUCAGAUGUGAAAACCACGGGCUCAACCUGUGGCCUGCAUUUGAAACUGUGUUUCUUGAGUACUGGAGAGGCAGACGGAAUUCCUAGUGUAGCGGUGAAAUGCGUAGAUAUUAGGAGGAACACCAGUGGCGAAGGCGGUCUGCUGGACAGCAACUGACGCUGAGGCUCGAAAGCGUGGGGAGCAAACAGG